rnacentral:lncRNA from 1 species
UCAAAUAGCCCAGCGUCAUACAGUGAACAGCGAAAUGCCACGUGUAUAGGACUGAUGAGGAUGGAACAAUACACUGUGUUACAGAUGGGGCUGGAAGACUCAGAAAGUGCUUAGAAAGAAGAGCGUUUGACCUAAGCCUAGCAGGUGUGCCAGGUAGAAAGGGAGGUUUCUCUUCCCUUAAGAAGCUUGGAGGCGCUGACUUUCGAUGUUGGCUCAGAGGUUUCAGGAUGCUGGGACCCAUGUCUCUGGGGUUUGCUUGGUAAAGAGAGGAAGGGGAGGGGGCACACCCGCAGACUUCUAUUUCAGUCUCAUUGUUGGAAUGGUGCCACCAGGCCACCUUUAGCUGCCCUGGCAGGUAGGGAAGGAUGAAGCAGUGGGGCCUGGGAAAGGCUUCGAGGUGGAGGCAAGGCUGAGUCAUUCUCCAAGUCCAAGGAAGACAGAAGUCAUCAGUCCAAGAAAGGAAGACCAUGGGUAAGACUAAGGGAAGAGAAUGGUGGCUGGGGCUUGAAUUAGAAGAUAUUUUGUGCUUAGGUAAGAUGUUUUGUGUGUCUAGGGCCCGAGGACCCAUAGAGCACAGGCUGUGGGAUGCACUGUUGGAGCAAUGGGCACGCUGUGUGGGUGGACACAGGGACAGUGAAUGGCCGAAGAUGUGGUAAGAGGUGGGGGGCAAGCCAUCAUGC